rnacentral:tRNA from 1 species
GCCUUCGUGGUAUAGUGGUCAGCACGCUUGACGCGGAUUCCAGAGGCCCGUGGUUCGAGUCCUGGAGAGGGCA